AGAUAUCAAAUAAAGAAUAAUGUGGACCUCAAAUCGCAACUGGGUUUAAGUAUUUUGAGCCAAUGAUUUAUUACCCAACGAGUUAUUCGUGUUAGUGAUUUGGUUGUCACAGUUGGUAUCUGAGCCAAUCACCAACUGAAAGUCUGAAAUGAGUCUUGAUUGAAGUAGAGUCUGAAUAACAGGCUAAGUCAAGGUCUAAAAGAAUAACAGGUUAACCCAAGGCCUGAAUGACAAGACUACCUAGUUAGAUAAAUCUCAUAUCGCUCGAUACUUGUGAGUGUGUUUGAGUCUAACGAGAACGUCAUGGCUUAAAGAAGGAAGGUAAUGUGACACCCAUAGGAUUUGAAAUAGUUCUACUAUUUAUAUAUUUAUGAAUUUGGAAUCCUAUAGAGGCCUACCCGGGUUGGGGGUGGGGGGGCGCUGUGGGGUCCUUUNAAACGCUAUUUUUUUAUUCCCAGGAACAACCCAAUUUUCAUCCAAACGAUAUUUUUCUUUUUUUUUUUUUUUUUCCUCUCUCUCUCACUCUCUCACACACUCUCACACAUUAUUUAUUUAUUUAUUUAUUUAUUUUUCUCCCUCUCACACACUUUACACAUUUUUUUUAUUUUUUUCACUUUAUUUUUAUUUAUUUAUUUAUUUAUAAUUUAUAAACACACUAAUUUGAAAUCCAAAAAAGACCUUUUCUUAUUUUGGGGAGUUGUAGGACCCACUUCAAUUUUUUAAAUAAUUAAUUGCACAUUGAGCUCCAAUCUUUUCACGCUUUUUAUUUUGGUCUUAAUCCCUAAAAUUUUGCAUAUUUUUCACUUUAGUUUCCAAACAAACACGCUAAACCCACUAAACAUAAAAUUUUCAUGAAUAUCAUGCAUGUAAUGAU
rnacentral:lncRNA from 1 species